AACUUAUUGCUUCUUCCUGUCCCAGAUAAGUAGCCUCACAGGCCAUCCUGGUGGUCCUUGGCCUCUGUCAGGCCCCGGCCCACUGCAGGGGUCAUCUGCGGACACUGGUAUCUCCUCUUCCUUUGCAAAGCCGCUCUCGGGCUGCUCCUGGCCCUUCGUGGACGCUGACUGCAACCUGAGCUGCCCACUGAGAACUUUCCGACCACCAGGGCAUAAAGGUGAAGGCAGCCAGCCACAGUCAGACACUAAACGGAAGUGGAGCCCAAGCAGGUCCGGAAGGCACAACCCCAGUGACCUUGAGGAUGGAGGUUGUGGGACCUGGAGGAGGAGGAGGCUGAGCUGUCAACACCUCGAUCCUUGAGCUGGCGCUGUGUGGCUUCUGGCAGUGCCUCAGAGUCGAAUGACCAUAAAGGACACACGUUUGGCAUCAGUCUGGGACACAGAGGCAGCUAUAGCAG